UGAGUACGAGCUGCUACGGCAGCGAAGUGGGUGACGUCAAGCUUCCAAGAAAAGCCCUACACCCGUUAAGGCAUGAUGGCCUGUACCCGAAACCGACACAGGUGGGGUGGUAGAGAAUACCGAGGGGCGCGAGGUAACUCUCUCUAAGGAACUCGGCAAAAUGGCCCCGUAACUUCGGGAGAAGGGGUGCCACCGCAAGGUGGUCGCAGUGAAGAGGCCCAGGCGACUGUUUACCAAAAACAGGUCUCCGCUAAGUCGCAAGACGAUGUAUGGGGGCUGACGCCUGCCCAGUGCCGGAAGGUUAAGGAAGCUGGUCAGCGCAAGCGAAGCUGGCGACUGAAGCCCCGGUGAACGGCGGCCGUAACUAUAACGGUCCUAAGGUAGCGAAAUUCCUUGUCGGGUAAGUUCCGACCCGCACGAAAGGCGUAACGAUCUGGGCGCUGUCUCGGAGAGAGGCUCGGCGAAAUAGAAUUGUCUGUGAAGAUGCGGACUACGUGCACCCGGACAGAAAGACCCUAUGAAGCUUUACUGUGGCUUGGUAUUGUGCCCGGGCUCUGAAUGCGCAGGAUAGGUGGGAGGCUUUGAUCCAUUGCUUGUGGGUGAUGGUGAGCCAACGGUGAGAUACCACUCUUUCAGAGCUAGGGUUCUAACGGUCACCCGUUAUCCGGGGACCGGACAGUAUCAGGUGGGCAGUUUGACUGGGGCGGUCGCCUCCUAAAAGGUAACGGAGACGCGCAAAGGUUCCCUCAGGCUGGUUGGAAAUCAGCCGAUGAGUGUAAAGGCAGAAGGGAGCUUGACUGUGAGACCUACAAGUCGAACAGGGACGAAAGUCGGCCUUAGUGAUCCGACGGUUCUGAGUGGAAGGGCCGUCGCUCAACGGAUAAAAGUUACUCUAGGAUAACAGGCUGAUCUCCCCCAAGAGUUCACAUCGACGGGGAGGUUUGGCACCUCGAUGUCGGCUCAUCGCAACCUGGGGCUGAAGUCGGUCCCAAGGGUUGGGCUGUUCGCCCAUUAAAGCGGUACGCGAGCUGGGUUCAGAACGUCGUGAGACAGUUCGGUCCAUAUCCGGUGCAUGCGCAGGAAUAUUGAGAGGAUUUCUCCCUAGUACGAGAGGACCGGGAGGAACGCACCUCUGGUGUACCAGUUAUCGUGCCAACGGUAAACGCUGGGUAGCCAUGUGCGGAGUGGAUAACCGCUGAAAGCAUCUAAGUGGGAAGCCCACCUCAAGAUGAGUAUUCCCAUGGCGUUAGCCAGUAAGGUCACGGGCAGAACACCCGUUGAUAGGCUCUACGUGGAAGCCGGGUAACCGGUGAAGCGGAGGAGUACU
rnacentral:rRNA from 1 species